AUUUGGCUGACGAGUCCCAAAUAGGACGAAACGCAAGUAUCCGUUUCUACUUAAAU
rnacentral:hammerhead_ribozyme from 1 species